GAUGAACGCUGGCGGCGUGCCUAAUACAUGCAAGUCGAGCGAACGGACGAGAAGCUUGCUUCUCUGAUGUUAGCGGCGGACGGGUGAGUAACACGUGGAUAACCUACCUAUAAGACUGGGAUAACUUCGGGAAACCGGAGCUAAUACCGGAUAAUAUUUUGAACCGCAUGGUUCAAUAGUGAAAGACGGUCUUGCUGUCACUUAUAGAUGGAUCCGCGCUGCAUUAGCUAGUUGGUAAGGUAACGGCUUACCAAGGCAACGAUGCAUAGCCGACCUGAGAGGGUGAUCGGCCACACUGGAACUGAGACACGGUCCAGACUCCUACGGGAGGCAGCAGUAGGGAAUCGUCCGCAAUGGGCGAAAGCCUGACGGAGCAACGCCGCGUGAGUGAUGAAGGUCUUCGGAUCGUAAAACUCUGUUAUUAGGGAAGAACAUAUGUGUAAGUAACUGUGCACAUCUUGACGGUACCUAAUCAGAAAGCCACGGCUAACUACGUG
rnacentral:rRNA from 1 species